AAGAUUAAGCCAUGCAUGUCCAAGUAUAAGCAAACACAAAGUGAAACUGCGAAUGGCUCAUUAUAUAAGUUAUCGUUUAUUUGAUAUUGCCUAUCCUACAUGGAUAACAGUGGUAAUUCUAGAGCUAAUACAUGCUGAAAAUCCCAACUUCGGAAGGGACGUAUUUAUUAGAAUCAGAACCAAUGCCCUUCGGGGUUCCUUGGUGAAUCAUGAUAACUCCACAGAUCGCAUGGCCUUGCGCCGGCGAUGGCUCAUUCAAAUUUCUUCCCUAUCAACUUUCGACGGUACGGUCUUGGCCUACCGUGGUUGCAACGGGUGACGGAGGGUUAGGGCUCGACCCCGGAGAAGGAGCCUGAGAAACGGCUACUACAUCCAAGGAAGGCAGCAGGCGCGCAAAUUAUCCAAUCCCGACUCGGGGAGAUAGUGACAAUAAAUACCGAUACAGGGCUCUUUUGGGCCCUGUAAUUGGAAUGAGUACAAUUCAAACCUCUUAACGAGGAACAAUUGGAGGGCAAGUCUGGUGCCAGCAGCCGCGGUAAUUCCAGCUCCAAUAGCGUAUAUUAAAGUUGUUGUGGUUAAAAAGCUCGUAGUCGAACCUCGAGCCUGGCCGGCCGGUCCGCCUCACCGCGUGCACUGGUCUGGCCGGGCUCUUCCCUCUGCGGAACCGCAUGCCCUUCACUGGGCGUGUCGGGGAGGCAGGACUUUUACUUUGAAAAAAUUAGAGUGCUCAAGGCAGGCCAAUGCUCGAAUACAUUAGCAUGGAAUAAUAGAAUAGGACGUUGGUUCUAUUUUGUUGGUUUCUAGGACCGCCGUAAUGAUCAAUAGGGACGGUCGGGGGCAUCAGUAUUCAGCCGUCAGAGGUGAAAUUCUUGGACCGGCUGAAGACUAACUACUGCGAAAGCAUUUGCCAAGGACGUUUUCGCUGAUCAGGAACGAAAGUUAGGGGAUCGAAGACGAUCAGAUACCGUCGUAGUCUUAACCAUAAACUAUGCCGACUAGGGAUCGGGCGGCGUUCUUUCUAGACCCGCUCGGCACCUUUCGAGAAAUCAAAGUGCUUGG
rnacentral:rRNA from 1 species